GCACCUCCCCUGCAGCCCAUCCCUAAUGUCUAAUCGCCCUUUCUGCAAAGGAAUUUCCCCUAUGUCCAACUUGACCCUCCCCUGGAAGAGAGCAGUGGAUCAGUGCUGCAUCUCAAGUUUCUUCUGACUUCUGGGGUGCUUUUAACAGACUGACUUAUCAAAUUCAAGCUCCUUAUCUUUAUCUCCAAGGUACCCCAGGGCUUGGUCUGGAAGCCUCAAGGCUCCGGGAGAAGGGCAGUAGCUUGCAGCCUCUCUGGGAUCUGCCUGAGAUGAUGGAAGAAGACUCCCAAAGCCAGAAUGUUUUGCUCCACUGUCUGGGUGUAAACCCCACUUUUCUAUUCUCACCUUCUCUACUAUGAGAUCAUCAGUUCCUGUACUGGGCUAUCCAAGACCUCGGAGGCAGCAUUCUCACUCUUAACCUGCUGCCAGAAUGAAAAUCGAUCUUUGACCCUU